rnacentral:misc_RNA from 1 species
CCGGAACCAGUUGGGAAGUAAUCUUCAAGGCCGUGGUAUGAUAGCAUGGACAAAGCUAGUGAUGGAUAUGUAUCCCAGUGGAACAUCUCUUAGAGGUGUGACUUGCAGUUACUGUAAUGUUGUGCAGCCUCCACGCGCUAAACAUUGUCAUGAUUGUGACAAAUGUGUUCUUCAAUUUGAUCAUCAUUGUGUUUGGCUUGGCACAUGCAUAGGACAGGGUAAUCAUUGCGCUUUUUGGUGGUACAUUU